rnacentral:rRNA from 1 species
GAUGAACGCUGGCGGCGUGCUUAACACAUGCAAGUCGAACGAAGCACUUUAUUUGAUUUCCUUCGGGAUUGAUUAUUUUGUGACUGAGUGGCGGACGGGUGAGUAACGCGUGGGUAACCUGCCUUGUACAGGGGGAUAACAGUUGGAAACGGCUGCUAAUACCGCAUAAGCGCACAGUAUCGCAUGAUGCAGUGUGAAAAACUCCGGUGGUAUAAGAUGGACCCGCGUUGGAUUAGCUAGUUGGUGAGGUAACGGCCCACCAAGGCGACGAUCCAUAGCCGACCUGAGAGGGUGGCCGGCCACAUUGGGACUGAGACACGGCCCAAACUCCUACGGGAGGCAGCAGUGGGGAAUAUUGCACAAUGGGCGAAAGCCUGAUGCAGCGACGCCGCGUGAGUGAAGAAGUAUUUCGGUAUGUAAAGCUCUAUCAGCAGGGAAGAUAAUGACGGUACCUGACUAAGAAGCACCGGCUAAAUACGUGCCAGCCGCCGCGGUAA